rnacentral:tRNA from 1 species
AGUUGUUUAGCUAACAUAAGUGAAUGUUUUGAAAACAUUUGAUAAGUAUAACUUAGCAACUU